GUUUCUGUACCAGAGAGAAAUGGAGGGAGGUGGGAAUUUCCUUAUUGUGAUGGUAGAGAAAUUUGUUGUUUUUUGUGUGUGUGGUUCUGUUCAUGUUUGUUUCAUUCCUUCCAUCCUUUCUAAUAAUCAAAAAGUAACUGAACCGGUUUAUUGGGCUAGUCCAGACGGGACAAGCGUUUGCGUGCAGGUGAACUCUUCAAAGAAAUCGAAAGCAGUGAAAGUUUUCCUUCAAUUUUUUUAAUAUCUCUUCUAGACGAAUGAAUCAAUCUCUCGGCUGCUGCUUAUUCACGCUGAAAGUUGGUUUUAGCAGAAAAAAAAACUGGAAUUAAUAUCAGAUCAAAACAAAACCUCCUGUCUGGGUGAAACUAAGGUGAUAUGAAUCAUAAUCAUAAUAACAAUUCCCCGUUGUGUUUUUGGUAUGAAGUGCAGGGUAUCAAAAUAGGAUCUCGAUUCAUAUCUGUCGUAUCAUGCACGAACUGUGUAAUCAUAUUGCGGUAUAACGUGUUGACGUCAUUCAUUCUGUCGUUUUCGAGAUGGCGUGAUGACGGGAGAGGAGGAGACGUAACUUUCUACUUGUACAUGCAUAUCCUGGAAGACGAACCCCAUUGGCAAAAUUACCAUCUUGGAGAGAGAUGAGAGGCUGCCUGUGGAUGCUGAGAGCAUGUUGCCUUUAUCAACAAUCACCGUAGAACGAAUCCACUUCAGAUGAGCAGCGGAUGCCGUUGCGUUUGAAACAGUUCCUCCUUCCUCAUUGGAUUUUUUGGUUUGCCCUUACCGAGUUGUCCCCCAUUGGAUUAUAUCAUUCGACGACACUCCAGACUGAAAAUGUUCCAAUUGGAUUUCAAGUUUGGAUUUCAAGUUUGGAUUUCCAUUUCACCGUGUCCUGAACUGCAUUAACUCGUCGGAAAUGAAACACUGGUUAUUUCACUUUCAUCGUUCGCAUCACUUUUUAAUGGGGAUCGAAUUGAGGAAGGAUUUUUUAUACCCAGCCUUGUACAUCAUCCGGGCGAUGUCUUCCUGGAGUGUCUUCUGGAAUUUGCGCUCACCGGCGCGUUGGUCGGCGUUGAGUAGAGAGGCGUCAAUCUCCCUGGAGAGCCUGGCCAUCCUGGGCAUGAGUCUCAUUUCCAGGUUGAGCAAGGCGUACCUGAUCUCGUAAUGAUCGUUUUUCUCGAUAUCCUGAUCCAGUUGCCUCUCCAUCCGGAUGAGUUCUCCAGUCAACAUUUUGCGAUCCUGUUCGGGAUUGCCCGAUCCCGCUUCCUCCUCGGACGAAUCAGCUGCGAAUCCACCGAAUAAUGGCGAACUUCCUCCAUAAGGUCUGCAAAUGUUUUGAAAAUUUCAAUUCCAAUUAAUUUAAAAGCUAUAAGAAAUAAUUUUCGAAUUGGCACUGACUCUGGUCUGGAUGUCACGAAAGUGAAGAGGAAAGUGAAAACGAUGGCGCAGAGCGUGAAUUGCUGGAACGAUCUCAUGAUUUCAGAUGAGUGUGUGAUGAUUGUCUUGUCUCGAACUCUAUUCUCUUUGCUGGAUGGACGAUUAAUGACAGCCAACGGUGUUACAGUCCGAAUCUUUUAUACUUUUCUAACCUGGCGAUCCUGCCCCCCCCCCUCGACCGAUCAAAGCUAGCCACCCACUUGCAGUCGAAAAAAAUCUAUCCGUGCGUUCAUACCCGAUAGCAAGUGGCCCGAGAAAAAGAAGGAAUUCCGGCUGCUAGCGUGCACACACACACACGUUAGAGAAAUUUGUGUCGUGUAAGAAAAAAAAGAAAGAAAGGACGAGAGAGAGAGAGAAUUGUUGGUGGAUGUCGUCGCCCGCCCUUUCUAAUUAUUUGUAGCCCCGUUAGCGUCGUACAGACAAGAGCAACCGGUUUUUCUGUCAGUCAUUUGCCACUUUUUAGCCUAUAACUCAUCGGAAGAAACUGAAAGUAGAUACCAGUGAAAGUUGGAUGUAGGCUAUAAUCUAAGGAGGUGUCUUUUGUUUUUUUCUCCCAGUUUUUUUUGUCGACGUGAUUCGUUUGAGCCACAAAAAAACAUUUCGACUCCCGACUGUAUGGAGUGUGAAUGUUAACGGCGUCUGGAAUUUUUCAAAAAUAAAUUUCAAUGCUAAAGUGAAAGUGGGGUAGGCUUUAAUAUCAUUCUUGAACUUGGGAAAGAAAUUUCGUGAACUUGUGAAAAUGAUUACGAGGCUCUGAUAAUGACUAGCUCAAUCUUUUGUUUCGGUUUUCCAUGCCGAUUGAUUUAAUUUGUCGACAGUUUUAUCCGUGAGUGGGUGUGAACGAUGAAAUGGCGAAAUUGAAUUUUUAUUUUAAAACUAGAUAUUUCUUUUCUCCGUAAUUACAGAGAGGCUAGUUCGUGACUCCGUUUAAUUAGCAACGUUUGAUUUCGCUUUUAAUUGUCGCAGGAAAAAGUUGUUGGUGCACUUGACAAUUAUUGUCGUUGCGCGCUAAACCCGGAAUUAAUUUGUACCUGUUUGGUUUCAUCUGCGUGUAACAAUUAAACGCAUUUGGGCGACCGAGAAAAGAGUUUCCUGACUGCACUACACGCCGUGUCCACCGGAUCAUUGCAAGUUUGUGUCGUUUUUGGGAAAGUUUGUCCAAAACCAGUCGACUGUGUCAUUUUUUUUAAUCCCCUACUUCUUCCUCGUUCAACGCUUUUUGGUCAUGUGUACUCUAUACACACACAUACACAUGCAGGUAUUUUACAUAAAUCGUUGGCAUACCGUCAAAUUUUCUCCGAUUGAAUUCGACAUUUUUCAUCCGAUUUAGACAAUUCUUGGUAGAUGGUCGCCAUUAUUUCUUGGCGUCUAUGUCCCAUCAUCAUUAGAUUCGCAGUUUAGAAAACUGGAAUCUACAUUACUGGCUUUUUAUUUAGUCCAGUUUUCGUCUCAGGUUUAAUUUGCAUGAGGUGGCAAUUGAAAUUCGAGAAGGGCGGGGAUUUGGGAAAGUUUUCAAUCCUUGACGUCAGGUUUUUUUUUUGUUGUUUCUUUCCAAGUUGAUCUCCGUCCAAAGAUCGGGGCAUAACACAAACGCAAGUGAUCGUUUUACACAAUCAGGUGCGAAUCCCAAAAAAGGCGUAACUGUCCUAAUAAUACUGAUUCGGUAGGUUGUGUAAGCGCGUGGGCCUCGAGGCUGGGCGGGCAUCGCCAGUAGCGUGAAUGCACUUUGAUAUGCGCCUGCUGGCUCACGUAUACGAAUUGCACCGCCAGUUGGCCACGACAUUAUGAAUUGGGCCCCCCUUUUUUGGUAGGUGUUAAUUAGUUACCUAUGCAUAGUUUCGGGUCGAGAAAUUUAAUCUUUGCCAUCGAAUUUAGCGGUUGUGUAGCGGACACGUAUUUCUAGAAAACAAAUUCAAACGAGUUUGCUAUUUUAUUUCUCAGAAAUUAUUUGUAUCGACUCCGGAUAUCCUAGUCGUCGUAACAAGAAUUUCGAACAUUUUGAUUGAUUGAUUUGAGAAAUUUGGUUAUCGCCGAAUUAGAAAUGUCGAGUGAAAAUAGAUUUGAUUUAUUCCGAAAAUUAUUGACGCUAAUGUUGCGUGCGUAUGCGUACCCUGUAACCGUACGAUAAAAAUUUAUUUUGGCAGCCAGCGAACUCAAAUUGGAAAUCUGUGCCCAAACUAAGUUUUGGAGGUGUUUCUUUUACUUUUUAUUUUUGGUUCUGGUUUGGGUUCUUUGAAAUUAAACCCUAGUAGGGGAACUACUUUUACCUUUUUCCACCUCAUUCGAGAGCUAAGUUAAUCGUAUCGUAAUCUCUGGAGCGACUCAUUGCGUAAACAUAUCGUCGUCGUCUGUUGGGAGAGGUUUCCUGCUGAGCAUUGCGUACUGCGUUUUCGAUUGGAUUUAUAUGCAAAUGACGUUGAAAAAAAAAAGAGUCUUGACUGGAGAUCGCUUUCUUUUUCGUGAUUGACUUGACGAGAAAAAAAGGUGCUUUGUUGUUUCGUUUUUGCUACUGUUCUCAUUUCCAAGAUUACUCUAUUUUUUGUUGUUUCUAUUCUUUCUUCUUAAUUUAUGCGCCAUUUAAACCUUCGACCCGUGCCGAGCGUCAUUACAACACGGUCCCUCUCUCCUCUGUUUAAUAAUGGAUGUCAAUUCAAUUAAUUUGUCGUUUACGACGAACUAGCCACAAAUGAAUAUGGAUUGUUUCUUUUGGGGGGGAAUAUGACGGAACUCUAUUUGCCCUUCGGAACUUGAGAACGGUUUAUUUUAUGGAUGGAAAAAACAAUCUCAAUCGUUUUUUUUAGUUUUCUUCUCUUUAUUACCUUCUCUUCAAUUGCAUCAUUUGGCGAAAUUUAGUUUUGUAUUCACCGUUUCAAAUCAGAGCAACUUGCAUUCCCUCCUUCCUUCUUAGUCGUCUGUUUGGUAUAUUUUUUUGUCUUUACUACUACUUUGAAUUCUACGUUAUUGGAAAAAUAUUAACUCCCUUUAUGCAAUUCGGAAUAUAGACCAGAAAGGAAAUUUCAAGUCCAGUACGCAGAUAUCAGUCAGCUGCAGCUCAACUACGCCAACACGAGGAACUACGCAAGCUUGCACGACGAUUACUGACCCACAAGAGCUCCUGUCCGUGACUUAAAAAUAGUUAAUAUUACAGAGACGCUGUCAACGACUUGUGGAGUUUAUUGGCGACAUCACUUAGAUUCCACGUUCCACUUAAUAGUAGUUGACACGCAAGCUACGAACGAUUGUCGACACCAAUUGCCGUGCUGAUCAGUGACACCUAGUAGAUGAAUUUUGUACAGCUUCAUGGGGUAACGACUGUUUUCCGUCGUCUGCUGUUCUUUAGUGGUGGACGAACGCUUUAACGCUUUCCUCUCUUGUAUCUCACAAUGGCUUCAAUUUGAGCUCAAUUUCUUACGACAAUUGAAGCUUCAACAUGUUCCAACUGGUGCAGUGUUCAUUAGAAGGUUGCUGAAGGACUUAUUCUUUGACGGUUACUGACAGUUGUGAAGCCAUCAAGCCAGGAUGGAAACAUAGUUUGCUUUGAUUUUCUAUUCUCUCCAUAAACUUAUGUUGUGAAAUAUUUUUAACAUCUGUAUAAGUGUGUGCAGUUGAGAGGAGAAAGGAAAAAUUUCCUCAGAUAAAGGGAAAAGUGAGCUGACGUUAUGUUGAAAGAACUGCAGCUCUACAUAAUAAUACAUUUGGUAAAAGUAGAGUUGGAAUAUUUUGGGAUAGUCAAAGGUGUUUGUAUCAUAUACUUUCAAACUCAUAUCUCUCAACUCAUAUGCGGAAUAUCAAAUAAAAAAGAAAUGAUGUAAAA